UACGUAGGGUGCAAGCGUUAAUCGGAAUUACUGGGCGUAAAGCGUGCGCAGGCGGUUUUGUAAGUCUGUCGUGAAAUCCCCGGGCUCAACCUGGGAAUUGCGAUGGAGACUGCAAGGCUAGAAUCUGGCAGGAGGGGGGUAGAAUUCCGACGUGUGAGCAGUGAAAUGCGUAGAGAUGUGGAGGAACACCGAUGGCGAAGGCAGCCCCCUGGGUCAAGAUU
rnacentral:rRNA from 1 species